UACGUAGGGGGCUAGCGUUGUCCGGAAUCAUUGGGCGUAAAGCGCGUGUAGGCUGCUCGGAUAGUCGGGUGUGAAAGCCCUGGGCUCAACCCAGGAAGUGCAUUCGAUACUGCCGAGCUUGAGUCCUGGAGAGGAAGGCGGAAUUCUCGGUGUAGAGGUGAAAUUCGUAGAUAUCGAGAGGAACACCGGUGGCGAAGGCGGCCUUCUGGACAGUGACUGACGCUGAGACGCGAAAGCGUGGGGAGCAAACAGG
rnacentral:rRNA from 1 species